rnacentral:rRNA from 1 species
UACAGAGGGUGCGAGCGUUGUCCGGAAUCACUGGGCGUAAAGGGCGCGUAGGUGGCCUGAUAAGUAGGGGGUGAAAUCUCGAGGCUCAACUUCGAGGCUGCCUUCUAAACUGUCGGGCUUGAGCAGAGUAGAGGCAGGUGGAAUUCCCGGUGUAGCGGUGAAAUGCGUAGAGAUCGGGAGGAACAUCAGUGGCGAAGGCGGCCAUCUGGGACAACACUGACGCUGAAGCCCGAAAGCGUGGGGAGCAAACAGG